GUUCCUGAAACAGCAGGAGCUGAUGCUGAAUGAGGUGGAGAGCACACUCAACAGGCUGCUCGGGACAGAGAAGUCUGGAGGGCCAGUGGACCUGGAGGAGGAGAAGAGGAGCGAAGAGGACAUGAAGAGCAAACCCAAGAAGAAGGGUCUGAAGAGGUUCUUCAAGUCCCUUUGCUGCCUCAACUAGAUAUCACCAUCACUGUACUACGGGCUGCGGGUUCAAGGCCGACUCCUCCAUACCAUGUCGUAGUGUCCCUAAAGUGCUCCCGAUGUGCAGAUUGGCGCCUUACAUGGCAGCCUCUGCCAUCGGUCCCCUAGAGCAAGACACUGAACCCUAAAAGGCUCCAGAUGCGCAGAUUGGCGCUUUACUGUAUAUGGCAGCCUCUGCUGUCGGCCUUUUUGAGCAAGACACUGAACCCUGCAGUGCUCUCGAUGCACAGA